UACAUGUGGGGCAAGCGUUGUUCGGAAUCACUGGGCAUAAAGGGUGCGUAGGUGGUCUGGUAAGUCAGUGGUGAAAUCUGGCGGCCCAACCGUCAAAUUGCCAUUGAUACUGCUGGACUUGAGUGCGUGAGGGGUGACUGGAACGCGUGGUGUAGCGGUGAAAUGCGUAGAUAUCACGCGGAAGGCCAACGGCGAAGGCAAGUCACUGGUACGCAACUGACACUGAGGCACGAAAGCGUGGGGAGCAAACAGG
rnacentral:rRNA from 1 species